rnacentral:rRNA from 1 species
GAUGAACGCUAGCUACAGGCUUAACACAUGCAAGUCGAGGGGAAACGACAUCGAAAGCUUGCUUUUGAUGGGCGUCGACCGGCGCACGGGUGAGUAACGCGUAUCCAACCUGCCCACCACUUGGGGAUAACCUUGCGAAAGUAAGACUAAUACCCAAUGAUAUCUCUAGAAGACAUCUGAAAGAGAUUAAAGAUUUAUCGGUGAUGGAUGGGGAUGCGUCUGAUUAGCUUGUUGGCGGGGUAACGGCCCACCAAGGCUACGAUCAGUAGGGGGGCUGAGAGGAAGGUCCCCCACAUUGGAACUGAGACACGGUCCAAACUCCUACGGGAGGCAGCAGUGAGGAAUAUUAGUCAAUGGGCGAGAGCCUGAACCAGCCAAGUAGCGUGCAGGAUGACGGCCCUAUGGGUUGUAAACUGCUUUUAUAAGGGAAUAAAGUGAGCCUCGUGAGGCUUUUUGCAUGUACCUUAUGAAUAAGGACCGGCUAAUUCCGUGCCAGCAGCCGCCGUAA